UUUCCGUAGGCGAACCUGCGGAAGGAUCAUUACUGAGUGAGGGCCCCUCGGGGUCCAACCUCCCACCCGUGUUUAACGAACCUUGUUGCUUCGGCGGGCCCGCCUCACGGCCGCCGGGGGGCAUUUGCCCCCGGGCCCGCGCCCGCCAACCCACCUGUGAACGCUGUCUGAAGUAAGCAGUCUGAGACAAUUAGUAAAUUAAUUAAAACUUUCAACAACGGAUCUCUUGGUUCCG
rnacentral:misc_RNA from 1 species